UCAAAGUCAAUUUUGAACUUUUGAAGGUAACCACAUCAACAAAGUUGUAUAUUUCUCUAUUUUUUUUAUAUAAAACGUGCUUAUUUUAUUAGUUAUGAAUGUUCCAAACAAACGCAAAGACACAAUGGAAGACAAUAAAGCUCCGAAAAGAGUGAAAAAGGAAUGCAGUUAUGGUGAGACGUGUUACAGACGAAAUCCUGCGCAUUUUAGGGAGUUCAGUCAUCCACAUUUGGAAAAUAUCCUAGACACCAGUACUGGAGACGACUAUGUCAUACCAGACCGUCUCAGUCUACAGCGUCACAUGAUCAUAGAACAGUUAGAGGUUAUCAUUGAGAAACAGCUCUAUGAACCGAAGAGGCAGAAAGAUGAGUGUACUAGUGCAUCGACCACAGAAACCCAGCAACCAUCUCAACCAUCACAAAAAUACGUCGACACGGGAACUAUGCCAAAAACUAACAAUGAAUCGGCUAAUAUUAAAACAGAAGACAGACUCACAGUCAAUAAGAGAGAUGAAAGUAGAUCUGUAGAGAAAGGGAGAGAAAAGACAUCUCCUGCUGGAAAAGAGAGUGAGUUGAAAAGAGACAAAGAUAAUGAGAGAGAUAGGGAUAUUAGUGGAAGUGGUACUUCAUCAGCAUCGAAGACCAAAGGAGCAGGCUACGUUCCAAUAAUUCCGCCCACCCGUCGCGCAGAAGACUUCCUCAAAGUAGUGCGCCCGCGCGGCAAAAUGGCUGAGAAACACGCAGCGAGCGCCCCCUACCAUAUCUUCUAUACAACUAUUACUGAUGCCAAAGAGACGCACAGCCAGCCGUAUUCUAUCACAUUUCUAGAAAUCCUGGACUCGAGUUUGGGGGAACUAAAAUGUUCGUUGCAAAUCAACUUCAUGGUGGAAGUAGCUUGGCUGUUGGCGCAGUACUACUUUGCUGGGUACAGUCAGAAACCCCUGACGAUCCUGUACGGCGAGGACUGCUCAGACCUGAAGACCAUCAACAGCAAGAAGCCUCAUGUGGAUGCCCACUACGUGGCCAUGCCCACACCUUUCGGGAAGCACCACACUAAGAUGAUGGUUUUGUGUUAUGAAGACGGCUCACUGCGUGUGGUGGUGUCUACCGCCAACCUGUAUGUUGAUGACUGGGAGAACAGGACGCAGGGCCUCUGGAUGAGCCCCGCGUGCCCCGAGCUGCCUCCGGGUGCUAUGCCCCACGACGGGGAUUCCCCCACUGGGUUCAAGAAGUCGCUGCUGCGGUACCUGACCCACUACCAUAUGCCUCAGCUCAGCUACUACGUGGAGAGAGUUAAGAGGUGCAACUUCAGUCAUAUUAACGUCUUCCUGGUAGCAACAGCACCUGGCGGCCAUUUCGACGAUGAUUGGGGCCUCAAACGCGUCGGGUCCCUACUGCGACAGCACUGCUGUAUACCCCCCGAGGAGACCAGACAGUGGCCACUUGUGGCACAGGCUAGCAGCAUUGGGAGUUAUGGCAAAGAACCCAAGCUCUGGCUGACAGGUGACUUCCUCCACCACUUCACCAGGAUCAGGAACCAGUCACAGAUGCUGUCCACACCUCCUGAACUGAAGCUCAUCUACCCUUCAUUAGAGAAUGUCCGCCAGUCCCACGACGGGCUGCUGGGCGGCGGCUGCCUGCCCUACGGUGCGGAUGCCCAUGCCAAACAGACAUGGCUGAACAACUACUUAUUCCAAUGGAAGGCCACAUCAUCACACAGGAACCGCGCGAUGCCACAUAUCAAAUCUUACACGCGCAUCAACAAAGACGCAUCACUCGCCGCCUUCUACCUGCUGACGUCAGCCAACGUCAGUAAAGCAGCUUGGGGACAAAUUAAUAAAGGAAACGCUGCCUUAAGGACAAUGAGUUACGAGGCCGGAGUGCUGUUUCUACCGAAAUUUGUCAUAAACGCAGAUUUCUUCCAGUUGGACCCUAACGCCAGCGACCGUCUGGUCGUUCCUUACGACCUUCCUCCCACCAAGUAUACUCCUGACAUGACACCCUGGGUACAGGACUACUUACGAUGAUGAUGAGGAGAUUUCCAGUAUGUGCAGUGAUUUUAGUUCUUGCAGUUUCGAAGAGAUGGCGUUCAAAUCACUUUUGGAAGUUCAUACAAGCAAAUAGAUGUAAAAUAGUAUUGCCGCUCGAUAGCGCCCUAUCGAUAGUUUUCGAUCGAACUAUCGAUAGUUUAUCAAAAAAACGAUAGUAUCGAUAACGAUAGUAUCAACUCUAUCCAUAGUAUCGAUAGUAUCGAUUGCUAAUUUUUAGCGAUACUAUUGAUAAGUAACGAUACUAUCGAUAGUUUUGUACGAUAGCUUGCGCAAUAUCGAAGAGCGAUACUAUCGAUAGUAUCGAUACUAUCGAUAGUUAAAAGAUGAAAAACUAUAGAUAGUAUCGAUACUAUCGUUGCUUAUCAUUGGUAUCGCCAAAAAAGAGCUAUCGAUAGUAUCCUACCGAUAGACCUAUCGGUUGGGUAGAUGAUUUUGGCUGUUUACUAUCGAUAGUAAAACUAUCGAUUUUUCGGCAACACUAAUGUAAAAUACGCUACUUGUCAACCUAAUCAAAUGAGAUUUGUUUUUGGUUUUCCCCGAAGGGUAAGGCAAAGGGAACUAUGCCCAUACAGCCAUGUCUUA
rnacentral:misc_RNA from 1 species